rnacentral:rRNA from 1 species
AUGGAGAUGAAGAUGGCUGUUGGCGUGGCCAACUGGCUCGUCGGUAAGGUGCUCACCAAGCUGUCCGACGGGCUGGUAUCUACCUACAUGGCCAGCUCCGAGCUCGGCAGCAACUUCCUGACCGCCAAGAACCAGCUGAUGUACACACAGGCGCUGUUGUCCGCAUCCGUGGGCAGGGACGUGGGCGACGAUCCUGGCCUGCGCGGACUUCUGGGGACGCUGAGCAACAAGGCCGACGAGGCCGAGGACGUGCUCGAUGAGCUCCACUACUUCAUGAUCCAGGACGAGAUCGAUGGUACCAAGGAGGCUGCUGCGGAGGUGGGCGGCGGAAUCAAGGGUCACUCCAUCCAUGGACGCCAUGUUGCUCGCUACACCCUCGGUAACUGCCUCCCGUGCUUUUCAUCUCCACGCACUCAAGGUGAUGAGCCUCCUGCAGUUGCUGCUGCUGCUGCUGCUACCAACAGUGAAGACAAGCCUGGUACCAGUAAUGAUGAUGGCGAUGUUGAUAUUAAGUUGCCAUUCAACAGAAUAACCAUGUCCAAGAAAAUCAAGUCCGUAAUAGAGGAGAUGAACUCCAUAUGCAUACUUGUCUCUGACCUGCUCAAAGUCAAAACUGCAAACCAGAGUAGCAUUGCAUUAAGCACACAUGUCACCACUGAAAGGCCUCCCACUGGCUCCAUAGUUCCACAAGAUAGAAAACUGUAUGGAAGGAGUGACAUUUUUGAGCAAACUAUAAAUGCACUCACCAGUGGCACUUACCAUGAUAAAACCCUCUCUGUCCUGCCUUUUGUUGGGCCUGGGGGCAUCGGCAAGACGACCUUCACCCAAAACUUGUAUAAUGAUGAAGCGGUCAAGGGACACUUCCCUGUCAGAGUCUGGGUAUGUGUCUCAACUAAUUUUGAUGUGAUUAGGCUCACCCAGGAGAUUCUUGGCUGCAUACCUGUAACUAAUGCUAUCACUAAUGCCAGCACAGUUGAACCAACAAAUUUAGACCAACUUCAAAGAGCCAUUUCAGAGAGACUGGACUCCAAUAGGUUCUUAAUUGUCUUGGAUGAUGUGUGGACAUGCAAGAGUGAGCGUGAUUGGAAAAACCUAUUAGCCCCAUUCACAACAGGGGGAACCAAGGGCAGCAUGGUUCUUGUCACAACUCGAUUGCCAGCUGUAGCACACAUGGUCAAAACAACUGAUCCAAUAGAACUGCAUGGUUUAGAGCCUGAUGCCUUCUUUGCACUGUUUGAAGCAUGUAUGUUUGGUCGUAACAAACCCAGGAUUUAUGAUGAUGACUUAGUAAAUGUUGCAAGAGAUAUUGCAAAGAAACUGAAGGGUUCGCCACUUGCAGCAAAUACAGUUGGUCGGUUGUUGAAGAAAAACAUGUCUUGGGAAUAUUGGAUGGGAAUUCUUGAAAAGAAUGAAUGGCAAAGUGCAAAAAAUGAUGAUGAUAUUUUGCCGUCUCUGCAAAUCAGCUAUAACUACCUUCCUUUUCAUCUGCAGAAAUGCUUCUUUUAUUGUGCCCUCUUCCCAGAAGAUUACAGGUUUUAUGAUUUGAAAAAAAUCACUAAUUUCUGGAUUGCAAUGGGUAUUGUAGACCCAAAUUGCCAAAACGACAAGAAUUACUUAGACGAACUAGUGGACAAAGGUUUUCUCAUAAAGGAUAGUGAUAGUGAUGGUGAUGAAUACUACGUGAUGCAUGAUUUAUUGCAUGAACUAUCUCGGAAUGUUUCAUCACAAGAGUGUGUGAAUAUAAGUAGUUUAAGUUUUAGAGUCAGUGACAUCCCACAAUCUAUUCGGCACUUAUCAAUCACUAUAGAAGAUAAAUAUGAUGAAAGUUUUUGUCAAGAAAUAUGUAAACUGAAGAGUGUAAUAGACAUUGGAAAUUUGCGUACUUUGAUUGUUUUUCAAUUAUAUGAUUCAGAAAGAGGUUAUAUUCUGAGAGAUGCAUUUGAAGGAAUAAAGAGUCUCCGGGUUCUAUUUAUAGCUAGCCUUCCAGAAUAUUUGCCAGAAAGUUUUUCCAAUCUUAUCCACCUCCAAUACCUUGAACUCAUAGUGCCUCUUGGUGAGAGAGAUAAUAAGCAUUCACCUAGGACAUUACCAAGAUUUUACCACUUGAGAUUCUUGGACCUCUUUGAUUGGCACGAUCAUAUAAUUUUCUUUCCUAAAAGCAUUAGCCGCCUCGUGAGCUUACGCCAUAUUUAUUCUUCCAAAGAAUUCCAUUCCCGUAUCCCUGAGAUCGGAAAGAUGAAGUGGUUACAGGAGCUAAGAGAAUUUCGUGUUAAGAAGGAAAGUGUUGGAUUUGAACUGAGCCAGCUGGGGGAAUUGACAGAGCUUGUUGGGCAGCUUGCUAUAUAUAAUCUUGAAACCGUGGCAUCCAAAAGAGAAGCUAAUGAUGCUAAACUGAAGGAUAAAAGAAAUCUGAAAGAAUUGAAAUUAAUUUGGGGUGCAGGGCAACAGAUUACAGAUGGUGAUGUUCUCGAGGGUCUUCAACCACCCCCAAAUCUUAGAGAGCUUGGCAUUACAAAUUAUGGUUUUGCCGUUGGUCCUAGCUGGUUGUGCAGUGACAUUAGCAUAAAAAGGCUGGAGUCUCUACAUCUGAAUGGUAUAUCUUGGGACACUCUUCCACCUUUUGAGCAGUUACCACAGCUCACCAACCUCAAACUGGAGAAUAUUGCUGGGAUGCAUGUGUUUGGACCAGGAUUUGGUGGUCUUACAGAGAGAAGUUUUAUGUACCUGAAAACAGUUAAGAUUGAGAAUAUGCCAGAACUUGGGGAAUGNNNNNNNNNNNNNNNNNNCCCUUUGUUUUCAAGGCUUGAAAGCAUUGUAUGCCGCUAUUGCCCCCGUCUGUCCUCGUUUUCCUUCUUGGAAUGUUGUACCAACCUUUGUCGACUUGAUAUUAUUAAUUGCCCAAAGUUGUCUCAGAUACCCCCUCUGCCUCAAACUUCUACACUGACAGAGUUAUGUGUGGGAUAUGGGUUUCAGGCAAGUUUGUCGUAUGAUGGAAAGUAUUUGUCUGCUGAUGGGUAUAAGGGUGCUUUGGCCUUCCAAAAUAUGGAUAGAGUGGAGGUCAUAAGAAUUUUUAGUUCACCACAUGUCUCAUUGUCAGUGUCAGACCUCCAAAGGAUGAAAUCCCUGAGAGAACUAGUUGCCAUAGGCUGCGCCAGCAUAUUCUCUGCAGAAUGGUUCGAUGCAGUCGUCCUAAAGGAAUUGGCAGCUCAUGAUAAAUCUUUGGACGAAGAAAAUAUCUCUGUAGCAGCAGGUCUGAUCCCGGAGGUGGCAAUUAGCAAAUCAUCGCAUCCAGGUUCAUUCCGACUGGAAUACAUGGAGGUGACUAGCAUCUCGGCAGUGCUUAUUGCUCCUAUUUGCAGACGCCUGGCCGCUACCCUUCACACAUUAAGGUUCUAUUAUGAUGAGGUGACUGAAACCGUCACGGAAGAGCAAGAAGAAGCGCUUCAUCUUCUCACCUGCCUCCAAAGUCUAUAUUUCACAUGCUGCAAACUGCGAUCUCUCCCUCGGCUAUAUGGCCUUUCUUCUCUCAGGAAACUUUCGAUCGCAGACUGUGAUGGAAUCCAAUCACUGCCGCCCAAGGAGGACUUCCCCACUUCACUGCUAAUACUAGACGUAAGUGAUUGCUGCAGCCGUGAAAUAAAAGAGGAAGCCGAGAAAUUAAAAGAAGCAAACCCUUGUUUAUCUGUUGAGAAGUAG